AACGAACGCUGGCGGCAGGCCUAACACAUGCAAGUCGAACGCACCGCAAGGUGAGUGGCGCACGGGUGAGUAACACGUGGGAAUGUACCCUUUGGUUCGGAAUAACGUCUGGAAACGGACGCUAAUACCGGAUGAGCCCUGCGGGGGAAAGAUUUAUCGCCAAAGGAGCAGCCCGCGUCUGAGUAGCUAGUUGGGGGGGUAAAGGCCUACCAAGGCGACGAUCAGUAGCUGGUCUGAGAGGAUGAUCAGCCACACUGGGCCUGAGACACGGCCCAGGCUCCGACGGGAGGCAGCAGUGGGGAAUAUUGGACAAUGGGCGAAAGGCUGAUCCAGCCAUGCCGCGUGAGUGAUGAAGGCCUUCGGGUUGUAAAGCUCUUUCGCACGCGACGAUGAUGACGGUAGCGUGAGAAGAAGCCCCGGCUAACUUCGUGCCAGCCGCCGCAGUAAAAC
rnacentral:rRNA from 1 species